UCGUUUAUGCGUUCAUUUGUUCAGUUAAAAAUAAACAAAAGCUUCGUUCUUGUUCAUUCAGUUAUUUUACAACUUUAAUCCUACUCAUAUCUUUCCCUAGAAUCCUCGAAAGUUGCACAUUGGUGGUCCCAGAUGGGGUCGGGUCGGUCUUGAAACGGUCCAUUUUAUUGGGCCGUUUCGCAACAAUCCAUUUUUUCGAACCUAACUUUUUUGAUCCGAUCAUUUUUGGGACUUAUAUUGCGGUUUUUCUGUGCGUCUUUUUUUUUUUUAGUUUGGUUUCGAUUUUGAGUUUUUCCAUCAACAAAUAUUUGAUUAACACUAAAAUGAUAGAUUAAAUAUUUAUUAAAAAUGGUACGCUUAAGUUUAAUAAAAGAAAAAAAGGAAAAUAGUUAGAUAAUGUGAUUCAAAUUUGUGUAAUUAACUAGCUAUCGGUCUUUUGUAUAACUGGUCUCGGAACGACCCGGUUUUUUUGGACCGGUCUCGGAAGGUUGGUUUUAUUCGGACCGCUCCCAGACGGUCUCGGGCCAGGUUUUUUUUAAGACCGGCAUUUUUUUCAGUCUGAUCCGAAAUCGGUCUUUUUUGCAUUUCUACUAAACUGAUUGCAGAUCGGAUUCCUGAUUCUGUAAAAGAACCGGAUCGCAGCCUACCUUAACCCGUAUGUAUAAUAUGUACUCAUUUAGCCCAAAUUUAAUAAAGUAGCCCAUUAGCCCAGUCUGUUAAGGCCCCAAGUUCUCGUCGGAGACUCGGAGUAGGGAAAGAGAACUGUGGCUCUGUGGAGAGAGAGAGAGAGCAGCAGCAGCAGACGAUCUGCGAUUUUUGUGUAUUUGUAAGAUAGGAGAAGGAGAAUGGUGAGAUCGAUGGCAUGGGGAUACAUUAGGAUCAUGGCAGGGACCAUCGUCGGCGGAGGUGCCGGGUUUUACGUCAUGCACCGCCUCGAAAUCAGCUACAAGGAGAAGUGGGAUGAACGAUUGAGGAAUUACGAGGAACAGCUGAACAAAAAGAAACAGAAUCCAAAAGAACUUGAAGAAGCCCUAUGAGUAACUACAUACAUCUCUUCCUUCAUACUUUGUUGAAUUUGCAAAACGUUUCUAGGUUUAUGAUACUGGAAACAGCGAUGUAUAAUUAUUCUCUUAACUCUUAAAAUUCCAGAAAUACAUCAACAUAAGAUUUCAAUUGAAUGAUAAAUGUUGUUAAAUUCUAUUGAUUUUUAUGUAAUUUUUGUUGGGAAGUAUUGUAUCCAAAACAUUUUAGGGAUUUUUAUAAUUUGUGCCCCUUUUUGUAAAAAGGAAAUCAUAAUGAUAAUAUGAAUUGAAAGUA